rnacentral:rRNA from 1 species
UGCCAGCCGCCGCGGUAAUACGUAUGUGGCAAGCGUUGUUCGGAAUUACUGGGCGUAAAGCGCGUGUAGGCGGUUCGUUAAGUCUGAUGUGAAAGCCCGGGGCUCAACCCCGGAAGUGCAUUGGAAACUGGCGAACUUGAGUACGGGAGAGGAAAGUGGAAUUCCGAGUGUAUGGGUGAAAUCCGUAGAUAUUCGGAGGAACACCAGUGGCGAAGGCGGCUAACUGGACCGGAACUGACGCUGAUGCACGAAAGCGUGGGUAGCGAACGGGAUUAGAUA